rnacentral:rRNA from 1 species
UGGGGAAUAUUGCACAAUGGGGGAAACCCUGAUGCAGCGACGCCGCGUGGAGGAAGAAGGUCUUCGGAUUGUAAACUCCUGUUGUUGAGGAAGAUAAUGACGGUACUCAACAAGGAAGUGACGGCUAACUACGUGCCAGCAGCCGCGGUAAAACGUAGGUCACAAGCGUUGUCCGGAAUUACUGGGUGUAAAGGGAGCGCAGGCGGGAAGACAAGUUGGAAGUGAAAUCCAUGGGCUCAACCCAUAAACUGCUUUCAAAACUGUUUUUCUUGAGUAGUGCAGAGGUAGGCGGAAUUCCCGGUGUAGCGGUGGAAUGCGUAGAUAUCGGGAGGAACACCAGUGGCGAAGGCGGCCUACUGGGCACCAACUGACGCUGAGGCUCGAAAGUGUGGGUAGCAAACAGGAUUAGAUACCCUGGUAGUCCACACCGUAAACGAUGAUUACUAGGUGUUGGAGGAUUGACCCCUUCAGUGCCGCAGUUAACACAAUAAGUAAUCCACCUGGGGAGUACGACCGCAAGGUUGAAACUCAAAGGAAUUGACGGGGGCCCGCACAAGCAGUGGAGUAUGUGGUUUAAUUCGACGCAACGCGAAGAACCUUACCAAGUCUUGACAUCCCUUGACGAACAUAGAAAUAUGUUUUCUCUUCGGAGCAAGGAGACAGGUGGUGCAUGGUUGUCGUCAGCUCGUGUCGUGAGAUGUUGGGUUAAGUCCCGCAACGAGCGCAACCCUUACUGUCAGUUACUACGCAAGAGGACUCUGGCAGGACUGCCGUUGACAAAACGGAGGAAGGUGGGGAUGACGUCAAAUCAUCAUGCCCUUUAUGACUUGGGCUACACACGUACUACAAUGGCGUUAAACAAAGAGAAGCAAGACCGCGAGGUGGAGCAAAACUCAGAAACAACGUCCCAGUUCGGACUGCAGGCUGCAACUCGCCUGCACGAAGUCGGAAUUGCUAGUAAUCGUGGAUCAGCAUGCCACGGUGAAUACGUUCCC